CAAAAACACCAUAACUAUAUGGAGUAGUAUGUAUAAAGAGUUCAUGCCCAUCCCUCCAUAUUUAAGCCUCAAACUCAUCAAAUAGUCUCCCAUAAUUCAUUCACAAAUUGAAGAGAAAAUCCAUUUGUCUAUACACAUUUAUUACACAAGCAACAAACAUCAUCUUCUUCGAAAUCAGAGGCCAUGCCUAAAUUGCUGGGAGAAUUUCUGCAGGAGCAACAAGAGCCAUUCGCUCUCGAAGUUUACCUUCUUGAACGAGGCUUUGCGCGUUGCAGCCUCAAGAAGAGACGGCGGCAAGCCAUCCCAAACUGCUCGGAAGUAGUCCGAGCAGUUUUCAGCAGAAUUCUGCUGCAUAACAAUAGAAAGAAAAUCAAGAAUCCCAGAAAAAAUGAUGACAAAAAUCAUGACGAUGAGUUCUCUUCCACAACUUUCUACAGUUCUUGCUCGGAUUUGGAAGAUGAGCUAGAGAUCAGUGGAAGAAGAUUGUGAUAAACAGCUCAGCCCAAUCUCAGUUCUUGAAGAAACAGAAUCAGAAGCCCCACCACUUCAUCCGAGUAUGUAUUAUAAUUUCUAUAAAUUUAAAUUUUUUCUAUGAAUAUUUAGUGCAAUUAUUAAUUGUUUAACCGCUAUGUUAAACCAAAGCUGACAUGGGAAGUACAUGAGUAUGUUGUUUUGUACUUUAGAAACUCAGAUUAAGUGACUUACUUGGUAGUAAACGACGUCGUUUAGUUAUUAAAUCCUACUCCCAUUUAAUAGUAUUUCAAAAUAGUGACGGAUAGAAAAAACAAUACUGGUAAGAAUUUACUAAUUUUAUACGGUAUGUUUUGGCUUCCAAAUUCAUAUACAUAUUAAAGAAUAAGGUAAAUUAUUCAGUUAAAUUUUGGUUUGUUCCAAAAACUAUUUCUGCAACCAUGUUUUCGAUUUUCGAUAAUUUCCAAAAAAAUAAAGACAAAUCAAGAGGAAAGCGCAAUAAGCAUGAAGUUGGUUUGCAAAACCAGAAUCGGGCAAACCACAGCAAAACUCCCUGAUUCCAGCUUGUGCAGGGCAAUACAAAUUCAAGAAAACAAAAGGGGAAUCCUCAAAGUCGAUUUCUCAACGCAAAUCAAAGCAUAAAAGUGCCCCAAAAUCUCAAGAAUGCAACGAACAUUCUCAUCAUCAUCACUACAGCAUAAACAAGAGGGCACUCCAGCACUCGAAGAAGCUUCUAGUCGACUGCGUGAGAGAAGUGAUGGAGAACGAAGGGGGAGGCGGGAAGCAGCUGAAGAAGAUAUUGGGAGCUGAGGAGCUUUGGAAGGCUGUGUGUGAGAAUGUGUGGCAAUGGAGCCAAGAAUCAAUACAUGAAAACAGCAUAUCUCAUGUUGUGAAAUGUGAUUUCAUGGCUUCAUUGGGAGAGUGGGGAUUUGAUUCUCAACAACACAAAGAUGAGGUUUCCAUGGAGAUUGGAGAUGCUAUUUUGGAGGAUAUUAUUAAUGAGAUUGUUACAUGCUAGUGAAUUGGUUUUAGUGUUGUUACCAACUUUUGUAGAUAUAGUAAGACGACAAAACUGGUACAUGACCUGUUGGAAAGCAACAGAGUUGUAUGAUUAUGUUUAAUAUACAAAAUAUUAAACUUGUUUAGUUAAUAUAGAAUUUUUUGAUUAAAUAUAAUUAAUUUUUCUGUA